rnacentral:rRNA from 1 species
GAUGAACGCUGGCGGCGUGCCUAAUACAUGCAAGUCGAGCGAACCGAUUAGAAGCUUGCUUCUAUGACGUUAGCGGCGGACGGGUGAGUAACACGUGGGCAACCUGCCUGUAAGACUGGGAUAACUUCGGGAAACCGAAGCUAAUACCGGAUAGGAUCCUCUCCUUCAUGGGAGAUGAUUGAAAGAUGGUUUCGGCUAUCACUUACAGAUGGGCCCGCGGUGCAUUAGCUAGUUGGUGAGGUAACGGCGCACCAAGGCAACGAUGCAUAGCCGACCUGAGAGGGUGAUCGGCCACACUGGGACUGAGACACGGCCCAGACUCCUACGGGAGGCAGCAGUAGGGAAUCUUCCGCAAUGGACGAAAGUCUGACGGAGCAACGCCGCGUGAGUGAAGAAGGUUUUCGGAUCGUAAAACUCUGUUGUAAGGGAAGAACAAGUACGUUAGUAACUGAACGUACCUUGACGGUACCUUACCAGAAAGCCACGGCUAACUACGUGCCAGCCGCCGCCGUAAAAC